CGAAGGACCCGAGCGUUAUCCGGAUUCAUUGGGUUUAAAGGGUGCGUAGGUGGAUUGGUAAGUCAGUGGUGAAAGCCCCAGGCUCAACUUGGGAACUGCCAUUGAUACUGCUAAUCUUGAGUGCAUAUGAUGUGGGCGGAAUAUGACAUGUAGUGGUGAAAUACUUAGAUAUGUCAUAGAACACCGAUUGCGAAGGCAGCUCACAAAACUGCAACUGACACUGGGGCACGAAAGCGUGGGGAUCAAACAGGAUUAGAUACCCUGGUAGUCCACGCCUUAAACUAUGAUAACUCGAUGUUGGCGAUACACUGCCAGCGUCCAAGCGAAAGCGUUAAGUUAUCCACCUGGGGAGUACGUCCGCAAGGAUG
rnacentral:rRNA from 1 species